ensembl:lncRNA
CUGAAGUUUAGACAGGUGGAUAUCUGAUCAGUAGGAGAGCAAAUGUCAGAUGGCAGACUGAGCGAGUAUAGUCCUUCCCCCAGUGGCUGCCACGGAAACCUAAGACCCUGGUCUGUGAAGUGGCAGGGAUCUGCUGAGUUAAUGUGCAGCUGAGGUCAGCUUGGCCCCAAUUAAAAUCCUUUCCCCUGAAUUAUGGCUUCUCACUGGGUUGCUGGUUAAUUGUGACCCUGUCCCAGUACCCUUUGUUCUCUCCAAGCAAGAUAAGCAGUGCCUCCUCCUGUUUACAGCCCUGCUUGCAUAUCCACUGUCACCAGAUGCUCUGCAUUCCAUCACUAGAUGUCUUGAAAGCUCACCUUCUUCCCACAUUUGUAAUCAGUAAAUACUGGGUGUCCUGAACUCGGUCCUUGCAGUUUUGAGGCAGGCAGCAGAACCACUGAGCUAAGUCCCCGGCUCCAUCUUCCUUUGUUCUUGUUAGCUGGCAUUGUAUUGCCUCAUAGGAGACCAAGACUCCUGGCCAGGGUUCUCAAUAAUGUUCCCUGUACACAAUUAGGAAAUACCUUAGCCAGGUGUGGUGGUGCACACCUGUAUUCCCAGCACUCAGGAGGCUGAGGCAGGAAGAUCCGAAGUUCAAGGUCAGCCUGGGCUACAGAGCAAGUUCAAGGCUGGCCUGGACAGCAAGACCAGAAGGAGUGGAGUGGGGGGAGAGAGAGAGAGAGAGUAUGAAUGAAUCCUGAUUGUGCCAGAGCCAUUCCUAAGAAUGGCUCCAAGAUCCUGAAGAUAUUCUCUUGUAUUAUCUUCUAAAAGUUUCAAGUUUGGGGCUGGGGAUUUAGCUCAGUGGUGCCAUGCCUGCCUCACAAGCAUUAAGGUCCUGAGUUUGAUCCCCAGUACCAAAAAAAAAAACAACUAUCAAACUAAAAGUUUAAUGUUUUGCCUUUUAAAUUUCAGUCUUUAAUCCAUCUUGAAUUGGCUUUUUUGGGGAGAGGGGGUGAGAGAAUCAUUAAUUCUUUUUCCCUGUGAGUACUCAGUUGUUCUAGCACAUUCUAUGAAUCGUGCCUCUUUUCCCCAGUGACCUCAAACAUGGUCUCUGUGAUAAAUUGUUUCUCUUGCACAUCAAGUCUGUUUCUGGGAUGUGUUUUGUGUCUCACUGAUAUUUUUAUCUGUCUCUCCAUGAGCACCACAUGAUCUUACCAUACUUUUGUGAUAAGUCUUGAUGUCUUUAACAUUUUUUUCUUUAAAAUGAAACUGGGAAUUUUAAGUCAAACACACAGGAUAUUGCAGAGAUCCCAAAAGCUGUAAUGCGUCAGUAGCUAGAACCACACCUUACCAAAGGAUGGAGCAGGUGAUCAGCACAACUCUCUUUUUAAAAUUUUUUUAUUAUUAUUAGUUUUUUUUUCUUGGUACCGGGGAUCAAACUUGGGACCUUUCCCUUGCAAGGCAGGCGCUGGAACCACUGAGCUAAAUCCCCGGCCCUUAAGCACAACUUUCUAACCCUGAGUCUUACAUGAUCACAAAGAGAGUAUUUCAGAGGCUUGUCCUUCUGUCUGAAUAAGGAACUAGAAUGCAGAUUCAUUUCUGCUUGCUUUUUUUAUCCUUCUAGUCUGUGUUGGUUACUUUUCUCUCCUUGCUGAGACAAAAUACCCAACACUCAAAGUUAAAGGGGAAAGGUUUUUUGGCACACAGUUGGUAGAGGUUUCAAUCCAUAAUCGGCUGGCCCCAAGGCAGGGUGGCACAUGGCAGAGGGGCAAUAGUGCAUGGGGGACCAAAGGUAGCCAAGCAGCAAGCGGACUUAACAGCGUCUCCCUGCCCCUUUUAUCUUAUCCAGGCUACUUAGGGCGGGUAGCACUCACAGCCUUAAUCCUAGUGCCCUUGAGCCUAGCGUGCAUCAUUAAUCAAUUCCAGUGUCUCACAUUCUAGAUCCAGUCACCUCUUCUAAAGCCCCACCUAUGACCGUAUGAGGCUCUGGGGGGAUAUCUAGACACAGCCACAACACAGUCCUUUCUGCUGGUCCCAAACUUGUCAAGCACAUGUCGGCAGGUGUUCAGGAGCUCUCUCAGGUCUCUCUGAAGUGGCUCAAUAGCUAGACGAGCACUUGAGUCCCAAUGUACAAAGUGAUUUUGCUCUCUGAAGGCUGGGCCGUUCCACUUUUGGGUUCUUCAUAGUCAUGUGCCACUGAGAAUUUCCUAGGACGGUCCUCAUGCAAUAAAAAUGUCACACAGCAUCUGCCCCUCCAGCUGGCUGCACCACUUCCAGGGCUGGCUUCCUGUCACCUUCUGCCAUGGAUGUCUUCAAUCCAGGUAUUUGUCUGCUACUUUUCCAUCACGGAACAGUUUCUGGAUCCUCAGCCAGUGACGGGAGAACAGAGCCUGUGCCCCAUAGGGAAAAUGAAACUUUUCAUUGGGAAUGGUUUUUCCUAGCCCUUUGCUGUUGUAUGAAUCUGAGAAUAAGCUUUUUAUCUUUCUUGAAAAGCUCUGUUGAAAUUUUGAUUGCAGUUGUCCUGUUUUUAAUUUCAAAGCAAAGAUUCUAACUUUUCAUUCCUGCACAAAUUUGUUAUAGGUUUUUCGUAGAUGCUUUUCAACUGGUUAAGGGAGCUUUCUGUUCUUAGUUUACUUUGAGUUAUUGCCAUGAAGGGUUGUUGAAUUGUAUAAAAUAUUAUUUUGAAACUACUAAGACAUUAUAGUUCUUUAAUAUGUUGAUGUGGCCACUCUAGGGAUAAACAUUUUCUAACACCACUGUCCUGGCAUUCUGGGAUAAACCCAUUACCUGCCAUGGUUACAAUGUGGUUACAAUGUAUCAUGCUUAGAUCUGUGGCCUGCUGACAUACUAAUAUUUUAUUUCCUCUUUUUACAGUUACGUUCUGACUGACUUCUGAGUGAUAACGAUGCAGUCUUGUAUUGGUGUCAGCUGACAUCACACAGCGAGUUGGCCCACGUUCUCACUCUUCCCAUUUUCCAGAAGUGCUGAGUGCCUCUUGCAAUGAGCACAUGAAGAAGGAAUGAAGUGAAAAGAGUGAAGAACUUGGGGUGGGCAGAUUGAGUCCUGCUUUUGGUACCAGGGAUCGAACUCAGGACCUUGCCCUUGCAAGGCAGGCGGCUGAACCACUGAGCUACAUCCUCGGCUGAGUCCUGCUUUUGAACUUUAGAUUUGUCUAUGAGUCUUCCUCCCUAUUUGAAAUGGGACCUUCAGUCAUGAAAAUCUUCUAGGAUAAAUUCUUAAACAUCACUGAAUAUGUUUCUGAGAUCGUAGGUAAAUAUCCUUUUGGUACCCCGAGCUAUAACUCCCUGUGAUCUGGUCAUUGGAACUAAUUUAAAUCACCAAGGGCUCUUUCCCUAGUUUUCUUUCUGAGCUCAGUCUCUCUCUGUGAUGUUCUACCCUGACAAACAGGAGUCCCUUCUGCAUAAUGCAGUAAAAUAGGAAGCUGCUGGUCUGCCAUCUGUUAACAUUCCAUAUGCUCAGUUCCUUUCUUAUUCAUCUUCUUGAUCCAAAUCUGUGUUUAAAUUGACCUGUUUUUGUCUUCAGCAUUUGAGUAGCAACCAUCCUUGGUUUUAGUCUAUGCAGAUUAAGCUGGGUGUGGUGACACAUGCAUGUUAUCCCAGCAUUUAUGGAGGCUGAGGCAGGAGGAUUGCAAGUUUGAGUCCCACUUAGGAAAUUUAGCAACACUCUGUCUCAAAAUUUUUAAAAAGGUUUUUUUAAAGAGGUAGCGUGGGGCUGUAGCUCAUUGGUAGAGCUUUCCUGGGCUGUAUCCCCAGUAUCACAGAGGGGAAAAAGUCCAGGUUAAUCUGGAAAAUUUCCCUCGCCCUCCAACUUUCAAUAAGGUUCUUGGAAGAUUAGAGCUUAUCAGAGCAGUCACUCAAGUCUCUUCCUCAGAGUUCUCCUUGUUCUUCCCAAGCAGGACACUCACUGGCCUAGUGUUGGUCAACUGGAAUUUUCAAUGAAGGAAUCAAUACCGUAAGGGUGAAAGUUACCAUGUCCUAAUCAUUCAGUCUUCUGUGAUCCUGUACUGCACUGUGACUUGUCUACUCGUGUUGUGACUGACAAAUUCUUACUGCUUUACAGGGAGGUUACAAAACUCCCUGCUGAUGCUGGGCUGAGACCUGUCAGCAGAUAAGGAGUUUCUGUCUGGUGACUAAAGAUGCCACCGGGAAAGGGGGGACUCCUGGGCCACCCACCUGUCCCUGACUCCGCAGGGACAGGGCUCCGGGACACUGCUGACGGGUGGGGGCUGGAGGUGAGGUCCUGCAUGUCCCCAUCCCCCCUCCUUGGCUUUCCUGUAAAACUGGGGGUAAUUAAGCUGCUCAUAAGCCAUUAGGUGAAGAGUCACGCAGGGUGUGACUCACCCCUGGGCUUCAACUAGGUAUCGAAAUAAUAAAGCUGUAAGAGGAGAUAAUCUGGAUAUAGAGACUCCAGCUCCUUGGAAGUACAGGGACCACAGGCAAUGAGUUAAGAGAAAGGAUGAACUAUCCAUUUUUAAUGUCCUUUUAUUUUCCUUGUCUUUUCUUUUGGUUUUGGAAACAAACACAGACCCUCACAUAAGCUAAGCAUGUGGCCUGCCACUGGGCUAUGCCCUUACCCCCAUUUUUAAGGCUUUGAAGGGAGAAAAUGAAAAACCCUAAAAGCUGCCAGUUUUCAACACAGGUGAAGUCUGUGGAUAGCUUCCAGGCUGGGAUUGCAGCGCCAUGGGAGGCUGGCAGGGAUGAAGGCAGCUGAGUUUUCUUGCCUGCUGCCCCUCUGGGCUGCCCCAGGGAUGUUGGUGGAAGCAGCUUGGAAAGGUGUCAGCUUGGCAGUGAGGAGAGAGAAAGCUGGUGAGGGAGGACUAAGCAGCACGGCCUCUUCUGAGUAAACUGUCACCAGAACUGUGGGAACAGUUCCCUGAUGUGACUCCGAUGCAGCCUUGAAGUCUGAGUGAUGAGGUGGCCACCAGCUUGGAAGACGCUGCUGCAGCCCCAGGAGACUGGCCCCAGCCUUGGACAAGAUCCAGCAGCCCUGCCAGAGAUGGCUUUACAGGAGUGUUUGAAGUGGCCUUAGUUACCUUCCUUCUGGGUCUCCAGGCUUCCUGUCCACGUCCCAUUCACAAAGCCCAGGACUGGGCCAAUUCCACCAGGGUGCCUGGGCCCAGAGAGCGGGUUGUCAUGGCCGAGGUGCCUUUGCAGUAUUUUGCAGUGGUG